rnacentral:rRNA from 1 species
CCUACGGGGGACAGCAGUGAGGAAUAUUGGUCAAUGGCCGGAAGCCUGAACCAGCCAAGCCGCGUGAGGGACGAAGGUGCCACGUAUCGUAAACCUCUUUUGUCAGGGGACAAAAUCAGGCACUAGUCCCCGGCUGAGGGUACCUGAAGAAAAAGCAUCGGCUAACUCCGUGCCAGCAGCCGCGGUAAUACGGAGGAUGCGAGCGUUAUCCGGAUUUAUUGGGUUUAAAGGGUGCGUAGGCGGCCUGUUAAGUCAGCGGUAAAAGCCCGGGGCUCAACCCCGGCGAGCCGUUGAAACUGGCGGGCUUGAGAUGUAGAGAGGUACGCGGAAUGCGCGGUGUAGCGGUGAAAUGCUUAGAUAUCGCGCAGAACUCAGAUUGCGAAGGCAGCGUACCGGCGGCAAACUGACGCUGAGGCACGAAAGCGUGGGUAUCGAACAGGAUUAGAUACCCCAGUAGUC